CUGAAUCUUUCCACACACAAAACAGGACAACAAGGAAAUCACCAGCCAAUUACAUCAUUCCAAACAGCUCAUUUACGUUGCAGUUUUCUCCGUAAAUGUUUUAAAAUAGUGCUGGAUUACUAACUUUUGGUCCAAACUGAUUCCUCACAGUUUGUACACUCACAGGCCACUUUAUUAACCCUUAUAGGGUCUUUGGGGACUUUUUGGACGUUUGCUAGAAUAAAAACAUGGAGUACGUUUUCAAGCCUAAGCAGCACUGCUGCUAAUUUCUCCUCUAUUGUCUUCUCAUCUCUUUCUUCUGUCUGAAAAGUAGAGAGCACUUCUUCCAGUUCUGCACCUUCAUGUUCACCUGGAAGGCUUGGGAUUUCAGGACCGUCUCUCACUGUAACUAUUCCAGGUUUAAAAUCAGAAUAAGCAAGGUGCUUUCUGUCUUUAUGCGAUUUAAAUGUCCCAUAAAUGUUUGUCGUAAGUGUACAGUCUUUGAACAUACAUGUAGCCCAGGCUAAAAAUCCAUCCAUCCAAAAAUAAUCCAAUCCAGUUUUCAGUCCAGGUUUUCCAUUUCCUCCCUUCCAACCCUCUGUAUUUAAUGUAGUGCCAGUCCAUGUUUUCCACCCUCUCUUUCCCUUGCCAUAAGACACACCCCCUUUGUUUCAAUUAGCCAAUCACAGCCCUCUGCCUCAGUAUAAAAGCUGUCCUGACUUCUCUCAGCUCAGUUGUGUGGGAGAGAAGCCAGAGGACAGCAGCUGUAGAAACCAGAAUCAUCCGGUGAUUGGGCGUUGUCGCGUGUGCUGGGCAAAACGUUUCUUACUGAACUGGCCAGGUGCCCAUUCAGGGUAUAUUGGAUGGCGAGCUAGGCUCUGGAGCACGCAACGUUCCUGUUAUCCAUCCAACACUCUUCGGUCUGGUAGGAGGCGGUACAGCCUGUCCUUUUCCUCUCCCAUCUCCUCGAGCUACGCAACCGCUGCAACAUUCAACCCCCCGGACAAUCACGCUAACGGACAUUUCAAAUCGCUCAAUAACAAACAUAUGGACUCAGACGCGGUGCGCAGCCUCGGCGUUCUUCAUCCUUAGUUGGGAGAACAGACAUUGAAUUUUCUUUCCUUCCUGCCUCAAUGAACAAUAUCUUGGACAUUUGAUUUAAUUUAAAAUUGCUUGAAGUUGAUUUUUGAUUUAUUUCUGCUGCAGUGGUUUAUGUUUAUAUUGGGUUCUGUUUAUAUUCACUUUUUGUACAAUACACUUUUCCUUAAUUCAA